rnacentral:rRNA from 1 species
AUUGAACGCUGGCGGCAGGCUUAACACAUGCAAGUCGAACGGUAACAUAAAGAAGCUUGCUUCUUUGAUGACGAGUGGCGGACGGGUGAGUAAUGCUUGGGAAUCUAGCUUAUGGAGGGGGAUAACUACGGGAAACUGUAGCUAAUACCGCGUAAUAUCGAAAGAUUAAAGUGUGGGACCUUCGGGCCACAUGCCAUAGGAUGAGCCCAAGUGGGAUUAGGCAGUUGGUGAGGUAAAGGCUCACCAAGCCGACGAUCUCUAGCUGGUCUGAGAGGAUGACCAGCCACACUGGGACUGAGACACGGCCCAGACUCCUACGGGAGGCAGCAGUGGGGAAUAUUGCGCAAUGGGGGCAACCCUGACGCAGCCAUGCCGCGUGAAUGAAGAAGGCCUUCGGGUUGUAAAGUUCUUUCGGUAGCGAGGAAGGCAUUUAGUUUAAUAGACUAGGUGAGUGACGUAA